rnacentral:RNase_P_RNA from 1 species
GGAGCAGUCCAGGUGAACGCUGGCCACCGCAGGCACGGGUGGCGGGAGGAAAGUCCGAGCUCCAGGAAGGGCAGGGUGCUGGCUAACGGCCAGUCGGGGUGACUCGCAGGACAGUGCCACAGAAAACAGACCGCCUUCCCUCACGGGGAGGUCAGGGUGAAACGGUGCGGUAAGAGCGCACCGCGUUCGGCGUGAGUCGAACGGCACGGCAAACCCCACCCGGAGCAAGAGCCAACAGGGAGCCGCUGGCGUCGCAAGGCGCUGGCAGGGGUGGCCCACCUCACGCUCCCGGGUCGCUCGCUGUCGAGGUUCCGCGGCAACGCGGGCCCUAGAUGAAUGUUCACCGCCGCCUCGGGAUGACCGGGGCGGAACAGAACUCGGCUUAUCGGACUGCUCCGGUU